UACAGAGGGUGCAAGCGUUAAUCGGAAUUACUGGGCGUAAAGCGUGCGUAGACGGUUGCGUAAGUCAGAUGUGAAAGCCCCGGGCUCAACCUGGGAAUUGCAUUUGAGACUGCGUAGCUAGGGUGCGGAAGAGGGAAGCGGAAUUUCCGGUGUAGCGGUGAAAUGCGUAGAUAGUCGGAAGGAACACCAGUGGCGAAAGCGGCUUCCUGGUCCAGCACCGACGUUCAGGCACGAAAGCGUGGGGAGCAAACAGG
rnacentral:rRNA from 1 species